CUGGCUCAGGAUGAACGCUAGCGACAGGCCUAACACAUGCAAGUCGAGGGGCAGCGCGGGAGAAGCUUGCUUUCCUGGCGGCGACCGGCGCACGGGUGCGUAACAGGUGUGCAAUCUGUCCAUAGUCGGGGGAUAGCCCAGCGAAAGCUGAAUUAAUACUCCAUGUGAAUCGAAGCCGCAUGACUUUGAUUUGAAACGCAAGGACUAUGGGUGAGCACGCUUCUGAUUAGGUAGUUGGUGGGUAACGGCCCACCAAGCCGACGAUCAGUAGGGGUUCUGAGAGGAAGGUCCCCCACAUUGGAACUGAGACACGGUCCAAACUCCUACGGGAGGCAGCAGUGAGGAAUAUUGGUCAAUGGGCGAGAGCCUGAACCAGCCAAGUCGCGUGGAAAAGGAUGAAGGUUCUAUGGAUUGUAAACUUCUUUUGUCCGAGGGUAAAAAAGGCCACGUGUGGCUUCUUGCAAGUAUCGGACGAAUAAGCAUCGGCUAACUCCGUGCCAGCCGCUGC
rnacentral:rRNA from 1 species